rnacentral:tRNA from 1 species
ACGAGUUAGUAUAUUUAAUACCCUUAAUUUAGGCUUAAAAAAAAGACACCCUCUACUCGUC